rnacentral:rRNA from 1 species
AACAGACCAAUGCCCCCCCGGGCUUUGUGGUGACUCAUAGUAACUAAUCGGUUCGCAUGGGCCUGUCCCGCGACAAACCAUUCAAGUUUCUGCCCCAUCAGCUUUCGAUGGUAGUGUAUUGGACUACCAUGGCUUUUACGGGUAACGGAGGAUUAGGGUUCGAUUCCGGAGAGGGAGCCUGAGAAACGGCUACCACAUCUAAGGAAGGCAGCAGGCGCGUAAAUUACCCAAUCCUAAUUCAGGGAGGUAGUGACAAGAAAUAAUGGGUCGGAACUAACGUUCCGGGACCGCAAUGAGAUGAAUUUACACCCCUUUUCGAGGAUCAAUUGGAGGGCAAGUCUGGUGCCAGCAGCCGCGGUAAUUCCAGCUCCAAUAGCGUAUAUUAAAGUUGUUGCAGUUAAAAAGCUCGUAGUUGGAUUUCUGGCAGGGAGUAGAUGCCCGUGUGAUACGUGCGCAGAUACCCCCUGCCAUCCUUCUGUUAACCCUCCAGAUCUUAACUGCUCUGUUGGGAGCCCAGAUAUUUUACCUUGAGAAAAUUAGAGUGUUUCAGGCAGGCUAGCGCCGGAAUACAUUAGCAUGGAAUAAUAGAAUAGGACUUUAUACCU